CCGUAACUUGCUAGAUGCUGACGAGCGGCGGACGGGUGAGUAACGCGUAGGAAUCUACCCAGUAGCGGGGGAUAAGCCAGAGAAAUUUGGUCUAAUACCGCAUACGCCCUUCGGGGGAAAGCAGGGGCUCUUCGGACCUUGCACUAUUGGAUGAGCCUGCGUGAGAUUAGCUAGUUGGUGAGGUAAUGGCUCACCAAGGCGACGAUCUCUAGCUGGUCUGAGAGGAUGAUCAGCCACACUGGGACUGAGACACGGCCCACACUCCUACGGGAGGCAGCAGUGGGGAAUAUUGCACAAUGGGCGAAAGCCUGAUGCAGCCAUGCCGCGUGUGUGAAGAAGGCCUUAGGGUUGUAAAGCACUUUCAGUCGUGAGGAAAGGUGUGUGCUUAAUACGUACAUACUGUGACGUUAGCGACAGAAGAAGGACCGGCUAACUCCGUGCCAGCAGCCGCGGUAAUACGGAGGGUCCGAGCGUUAAUCGGAAUUACUGGGCGUAAAGCGCGCGUAGGUGGAUUGGUCAGUCAGAUGUGAAAGCCCAGGGCUCACCUUGGAACUGCAUCUGAUACUGCUAGUCUAGAAUACAGUAGAGGGUAGUGGAAUNCCUGUGU
rnacentral:rRNA from 1 species